GGUCAUUACGGUAUGCAUAGCACAUUGAUUCGUGGAUUUCUUCUUCCCUCGGUGAAAAAUAAAUAUAUGUCUUAUUCUUAUAGCUUAUUCCAAAAUACAAAGGCCACUUUGCACAUACAAAAUAUCUUGAUCAGAAUUCUCUACAUUUUGAGGAUCACGAAUUUGUUAUAGUCAUAUCAAAAUUUGAGGUUGAUUGGCGGAAACAAAUACGUGAUUUCCCAACUAUAAUUAAUUUUGAGUAAGCAGAAUUCAUUUAUUUUUCUAAAUCUUUUUUUAUUUCUUAAAAUUUGUGUUAGUAAAAGACUUUUGAGGUUAAGUAAUUAGUAAACAAUGAAAAUGUUAAAAGAAAUUUUAUUAUUUCCGUAAAUGUAUUUUCAUUUAUUACCAUUUCAUUUUAUUUCCAUCACAAAAAAAAAAAAAUUUCGUGAAUCAAGGAUUUUUUGAAAUUUUGUAGAUCCUAAGGUCUUAAUUUCUAAGAAUUACGAAUUCUACUUUGAGAUAUAAGUUUUUUAUUUUUAGCCUGUUCCUCAUGUAUUAUGUUGAUAAUGGUUCAAACUUCCAAUAAAGCAUUCAAGUCAAAAUGAACCAUUAAACAUACCAUUCAACUAUGUAACAAGAUAGAACUUCAAGUUCUCAUAAAAGCAAGGAAAUCUAAAACCACACUCAAUAAGAUAAAACAACAUAGAAAAUAGCAUCCAAUUAUUGUCUUAUUUAAACUCAUAAUCAUAGAUGCCACCAGCCUAAGAUAGUGAGAAGGAACUUCUUGUAAUCUCCUGAGAUUUCUUUGGCAAUAACAUGUUCUAGAAGAACACUGUUUCUCUUAUAAUAAACAUCUGAGAUGUUUUUCAAAUCUGUGUAAGCUCUGCUCACAAUCACACGAGUGAGUGCAUCCUCAUCAGUUCCAAUCUUCUUGACAGCAUCUCUCACCACCUAUAAUAACAUUAAAAAAAUGUCAAGAUUCAUUCUAGUUAAUUUAACAAUUUAGAUUUAAACUUUAAUACUUCUACACAAAACUCAUAAUAAAAAUGUAUUAUCUAAUUCUUGUAGAUUUAAAUUCAGAUAUAAUUGCUUUCGCGACCCCUUAAUUUAAUUUCAUGUGAUAUUUUAGUUAUUUAUUUUUUUUUUUCGAUUUAGUCUUUUAUUUAAUUUUAAGUAACUAUCUGAUCUUUUAUAUCUUAAAAUAUUACCAAUAUUAUCAUUUCUUAACAUAAAUUUAAAAUUAAUCAAAAUCUUCAAACAAAAUCUAUAAAAUUCAACACCAAUUUCAAAAAAGUCAUAUAUUCAUCAAAUGUAUAACUCAAAUAUUCAAAUAAAUUCAUAUUUCUGUAUCUAACAACAUCAAAUUCAUAAAAUAAAGAAUGAAAAUGAGUUUAUUUAAAUAUUUGAGUUAUAAAUUUGAUGAAAUGUGCAUUAUAUUGAAUGUGAUAAUUAAUUUUAUAGAUUUUGUUUGAAAAUUUUGAUGAAAUUUUUAUAAAAAAAAUGAUAAUAUUAUUGAUAUUUUAAAACAAUAAAAGAUCAAAUUGUUAUUUAAAAUUAAAUAAAACCUAAAUAAAAAAAAAUUAAUUAACUAAAAUGCUACCUAAAGUUAAGUUAAAAGAGUCUGCAGUACCAAUUAUACCUAUUAUACCAGUAAAUUAAUAAUAAUAGAGAAUACAAUGAGAGUCCUACCUUUUCAUAAUACUUGACAUGAUCAUUGAAGCAACGAAUGGUGGUAUACAAUGAUUUCUGAAAAUCAUCUGAUCCUUCAUCCAAUAGUUUCUGUUAAGAUGUAAGGGACACAAAUUUAAAUGAUAGAUUAUAGUAUCAAUUUCUUUUAUUGUUUUGCAAAGAAAAGGAAGAAAAAAAAAUAGUGUGUUAGCUCUUUUUUGUAUACCUUAGUGAUGGAACCACCAUGAGUCUCUCUAUAGCGAUUGAAAGUUGCAAUCAAUUGAGUCUUGCUCCUUGUAGUCAAGAUCCUGAUUGCUUCUUCAUGGCUACCUUUUUUCUCUUUCACAGACUCGUGAAGAAUUUCAGCUUCACUCUGAGCCAAUUUUGCAUUUAUCUCAUCACCAGUAUAUCUGUAUGAGGUCACUAGCCCCACCAAAAGCUGCUCAAUAUCAAAAACAAACUUAUCAAAAUCAGGGUUCUUAAAAAGGUCUUUAACAAAGAUAUGGGCCAAACAACAUCAAAGUUUUUGAAAUCUUCACUAAUGCAAUGUUCCUUCCAUUAAGGUAUACAAAAAUAAAAAUUUGCAUCAAAUCUUACAUCUUUUAAUCAGAAAUGAUCAGUAAAUUUCGAUAAAAAUUUGAGUUAAUUUGAAAAAGGACUUGCCUGGCGAAGAUGGCCUGAAGUAUGAAUAGCCAAAUCUUCUUCAAUGGAGUGCUUGUAGCGGUUGAUAUAGGCACGCCUCACAUUAAAGAGCUCUUCAGGGGAAAGAACAGAGGAAAUUUCCACAAUCACAUUGUAGUUUUUUCCACUCUUUAUAGCAACAUGGACCAAAACAGCGUCACGAUCAGCAGGCUCCAAUAUCCAACGGUACACAGCUUUCUGUUCAUUAAAAUAAAAUUUCAAAAUUUUACAUAUAUUAAUUUAAGAAAAUGAAUUAAUUGAAUGUUAUUUAUAAAAUUGACAAAAUUGACUUUGAUACUAAAUUACUAAUAUGCACCUCAAAAUCUCCUUUGAUCUCAGACUCCAAGCGUUUGACAAGAUCCUCAUGAUAAAUGUCCUCAUAAGAUUUUCUAAUUAAUUGUAUCUGAUGUGAGGUUCUGUGACCCAGUAUUGAUAUCACAGUGUUUUCAUCAGUUCCCCAUCCUACAAUAUUGAACAUAUAUAAUACAAUCAACUAAAUUUUGAGCACCCCAUUAUUUAAUUAAAGAUUACAUAAGAGUAUCAGAUUCAUAGAAAAAAAAAAGUAACAAAGUAUGCAAAUUAAAUAGCCAAAUCAGUAUGCAAAUUUGUCAACAACAAAAAUGAUGAUAGGGGAAGAUCACAC
rnacentral:lncRNA from 1 species